UCCACCGCGGGGUGGAAUCUGAAGGAGGUCGGCGACAAAGCUCUGGUCUGACGAACAGAAACUACAUAUAAGGCAUACGCUUGAAAGUGAGUUUGCACAACAAAACAAAGCCCAAAGACUAUCCGAAACAGGCGGUGUAAAUGUAGCAGAUAUAUAGAGUGGAAGAUUACGCU
rfam:[Clostridium] thermoalcaliphilum strain DSM 7309 CLOTH_contig000006, whole genome shotgun sequence.